CGCCCUACGGGACGCAGCAGUAGGGAAUCUUCCACAAUGGACGAAAGUCUGAUGGAGCAACGCCGCGUGAGUGAAGAAGGGCUUCGGCUCGUAAAGCUCUGUUGGUAGUGAAGAAAGAUAGAGGUAGUAACUGGCCUUUAUUUGACGGUAAUUACUUAGAAAGUCACGGCUAACUACGUGCCAGCAGCCGCGGUAAUACGUAGGUGGCAAGCGUUGUCCGGAUUUAUUGGGCGUAAAGCGAGUGCAGGCGGGUCAAUAAGUCUGAUGUGGAAGGCCUCGGGCCAACCGGGGAA
rnacentral:rRNA from 1 species